AUUGAACGCUGGCGGCAUGCCUUACACAUGCAAGUCGAACGGCAGCGGGGACUUCGGUCCGCCGGCGAGUGGCGAACGGGUGAGUAAUGUAUCGGAACGUACCUUUCAGUGGGGGAUAACGUAGCGAAAGUUACGCUAAUACCGCAUAUUCUCUGAGGAGGAAAGCAGGGGACCUUCGGGCCUUGUGUUGAUGGAGCGGCCGAUAUAAGGUUAGCUAGUUGGUGAGGUAAAGGCUCACCAAGGCGACGAUCUGUAGCGGGUCUGAGAGGAUGAUCCGCCACACUGGGACUGGGACACGGCCCAGACUCCUACGGGAGGCAGCAGUGGGGAAUUUUGGACAAUGGGCGCAAGCCUGAUCCAGCCAUACCGCGUGAGUGAAGAAGGCCUUCGGGUUGUAAAGCUCUUUCGGACGGGAAGAAAUUGGUGGGGCUAAUAUCCCCAUCGGAUGACGGUACCGUAAUAAGAAGCACUGGCUAACUACGUGCCAGCCGCCGCCGUAACAC
rnacentral:rRNA from 1 species